UCAUCAGGAGUCCUGACAGGCGAUCGCGUGUCAGGGUGAAACGGGAAGACCGGUGCCGUUUGAGCCAACAGGCUUAAACCAUUCCGGCGCAGCCCCCGCUGCUGUAAGCCUGAGGUAUUGCGUUCAUCUAUGCCACUGAGUGGUUUUAUCACUUGGGAAGGCAAGCGCAAACCGUUUGCAGGGUAAGCCAGAAGACCGACCUGUUGAGUGUUUUAGAG
rfam:Thiorhodospira sibirica ATCC 700588 ctg273, whole genome shotgun sequence.